rnacentral:rRNA from 1 species
AGUGAACGCUGGCGGUAGGCCUAACACAUGCAAGUCGAACGGCAGCACAGUAAGAGCUUGCUCUUAGGGGUGGCGAGUGGCGGACGGGUGAGGAAUACAUCGGAAUCUACUUUUUCGUGGGGGAUAACGUAGGGAAACUUACGCUAAUACCGCAUACGACCUACGAGUGAAAGCAGGGGAUCUUCGGACCUUGCGCUAUCGAAUGAGCCGAUGUCGGAUUAGCUAGUUGGCGGGGUAAAGGCCCACCAAGGCGACGAUCCGUAGCUGGCCUGAGAGGAUGGUCAGCCACACUGGAACUGAGACACGGCCCAGACUCCUACGGGAGGCAGCAGUGGGGAAUAUUGGACAAUGGGCGAAAUCCUGAUCCAGCCAUACCGCGUGGGUGAAGAAGGCCUUCGGGUUGUAAAGUCCUUUUGUUGGGAAAGAAGAGCAGCAGGUUAAUACCCCGCUGUUCUGACGGUACCCAAAGAAUAAGCACCGGCUAACUUCGUG